rfam:Nicotiana attenuata strain TT chromosome 2, whole genome shotgun sequence.
CUGACCUCGAAUGUUCCAUAUACUUGGUAUACAUAUGUUCUAUAGGCUCGUACCACUGUAUCCUUGAGUUCUAAGGAGACAGAAAACCAAGUCUGGUUGAUGAGGCAUGGCUAUGAGGCUAGAGCGUGAUUAAUAGCCUUCCAUGGUCGCUUGUGGCCUUGGAGCAGUAGAGGAUCGUUCUCAGCUCUGCUUACAGGCCUGGGAUGGUUUCAUAGCUGUCUGAUAGACU